AGGGGCGUCGUCACUUCCAUUCUAAUGUUGAGCGAGUGGUUGGAAAACUAUAAUUCUAUAUUGUACGAAUUAUUCGGCAAAUUAAAUUCUCAAAAUUGACAAUCAGCACUGCUGUCAUUAGGGAAUUGUCAUUAAGUACCUACAGAACAACCAUUAUUUUUAGUUUAUCCUGCACAACGACGAUCACUAAGACGUUUGAUGAAC
rnacentral:lncRNA from 1 species